GACGAACGCUGGCGGCGUGCCUAAUACAUGCAAGUAGAACGCUGAAGCUUGGUGCUUGCACCGAGCGGAUGAGUUGCGAACGGGUGAGUAACGCGUAGGUAACCUGCCUGGUAGCGGGGGAUAACUAUUGGAAACGAUAGCUAAUACCGCAUAAGAGUAGAUGUUGCAUGACAUUUGCUUAAAAGGUGCAAUUGCAUCACUACCAGAUGGACCUGCGUUGUAUUAGCUAGUUGGUGAGGUAACGGCUCACCAAGGCAACGAUACAUAGCCGACCUGAGAGGGUGAUCGGCCACACUGGGACUGAGACACGGCCCAGACUCCUACGGGAGGCAGCAGUAGGGAAUCUUCGGCAAUGGACGGAAGUCUGACCGAGCAACGCCGCGUGAGUGAAGAAGGUUUUCGGAUCGUAAAGCUCUGUUGUAAGAGAAGAACGAGUGUGAGAGUGGAAAGUUCACACUGUGACGGUAUCUUACCAGAAAGGGACGGCUAACUACGU
rnacentral:rRNA from 1 species